rnacentral:rRNA from 1 species
GAUCCUGGCUCAGGAUGAACGCUAGCGGCAGGCUUAACACAUGCAAGUCGAGGGGCAUCGGGAGUAGCAAUACUUGCCGGCGACCGGCGCAAGGGUGCGUAACGCGUGAGCAACAUGCCCGUAUCAGGGGGAUAAUCCAUGGAAACGUGGUCUAAUACCCCAUAGUAAUUAUGUAAGGCAUCUUAUAUAAUUUAAAGCUUUGGUGGAUACGGAUUGGCUCGCGUGACAUUAGCUGGAUGGUAAGGUAACGGCUUACCAUGGCUACGAUGUCUAGGGGUUCUGAGAGGAAGGUCCCCCACACUGGAACUGAGACACGGUCCAGACUCCUACGGGAGGCAGCAGUGAGGAAUAUUGGACAAUGGAUGGAAAUCUGAUCCAGCCAUGCCGCGUGCAGGAAGACGGCCCUAUGGGUUGUAAACUGCUUUUGUAUGGGAGCAAUAAGGGCUACGUGUAGUCCGAUGAGAGUACCAUACGAAUAAGCACCGGCUAACUCCGUGCCAGCCGCCGC